GCAUGCGUGCUAAGGGAAAGAGACUGUGUGGCUGUGCAGAGUCACGUAUGGAGUGAAUUCGUCGCUGUUUCCUCGACACUUUGUUGACAGCUCACCAAAGCUCGUGCUCAUGGAAAACGGACUCUCCCGGAUAGAAGAAUCGAACCAGUGCUAACACAACUGAGAAAUUAACACACAUACACACACGCACACACACACACACACACACACACACACACACACACACACACACACACACGUUUAUGCUUUAAUUAAGGAACGUUAAUUUGCAGUGGUAACAUGUUGAAUCCUCUCUGAAUAUACAUUUGCUCUUUCACCUGUGUCUUUCUAGAAAGCAAACAUCAUUGAGACUGGAAGAUGUCACAUAGAGUUCCAGAUGACUUGAAAGGAAAUGAUCAAUAUUUUUCAUUGAAUUAUGACAUACUAUUUUAGGAGAAACAAUUAUGCAAGUUUACAAGAGGUGAUUAUCCAUAUGCUGAAAUAUUGUACAUAUUUCUGUCUAUUGGAACCCAGCUGGAAGGAUGAUAAGUUUGAACAUGAACUAACAGCAUCAGUUGUUCAUCCACUAAGAAAUGUUGGUCCUUGUGUUCUUUUUGAAGCAGCUAUGCAAGACGAUGUGAUCAUAAUCUGGCCGAGACCUGUAGUUAGUGCAAAGGCUAGAAUAUCUUGAGCUACUUUCUGUAAAUAAAUUGCUUUGCAGGUGUGCAUCAAUACUUAAUUUAAGGGGAGACAUGUAAUUGUUGAAACUCUCAAUGAUAUUGAAAUAGAUCUGUAAUUAUAGAGACCACGCUGCAUGUGAUCUUAAUUGAUACAAAUAUAAC